GCUCAGGAUGAACGCUAGCGGCAGGCUUAACACAUGCAAGUCGAGCGGUAUUUGUUCUUCGGAACAGAGACAGCGGCGUACGUGUGUGGAACACGUGCGCUACCUGCCUUUCUCAGGGAUAUAGCCUUUCGAAAGGAAGAUUUAUAUCCCAUAAUAUAUUAUGUGGCAUCACUUGAUAUUGAAAACUCCGGUGGAUAGAGAUGGGCACGCUCAAGAUUAGAUAGUUGGUAGGGUAACGGCCUACCAAGUCAGUGAUCUUUAGGGGGCCUGAGAGGGUGAUCCCCCACACUGGUACUGAGACACGGACCAGACUCCUACGGGAGGCAGCAGUGAGGAAUAUUGGACAAUGGGUGAGAGCCUGAUCCAGCCAUCCCGCGUGAAGGACGACGGCCCUAUGGGUUGUAAACUUCUUUUGUAUAGGGAUAAACCUUUCCUCGUGUGUAAAGCUGAAGGUAUUAUAAGAAUAAGCAUCGGCUAACUCCGUGCCAGCAGCCGCGGUAAUACGGAGGGUGCAAGCGUUAUCCGGAUUUAUUGGGUUUAAAGGGUCCGUAGGCGGAUCUGUAAGUCAGUGGUGAAAUCUCACAGCUUAACUGUGAAACUGCCAUUGAUACUGCAGGUCUUGAGUAAAGUAGAAGUGGCUGGAAUAAGUAGUGUAGCGGUGAAAUGCAUAGAUAUUACUUAGAACACCAAUUGCGAAGGCAGGUCACUAUGUUUUAACUGACGCUGAUGGACGAAAGCGUGGGGAGCGAACAGGAUUAGAUACCCUGGUAGUCCACGCCGUAAACGAUGCUUACUCGUUUUUGGGGCUUCCGCUUCAGAGACUAAGCGAAAGUGAUAAGUUACCCACGUGGAGAGUACGUUCGCAAGAGUGAAACUCAGAAGAAGUGACGGGGGCCCGCACAAGCGGUGGAUUAUGUGGUUUAAUUCUAAGAUACGCGAGGAACCUUACCAGGGCUUAUGUGGAAAGUGAUCGGUUUAGAAAUAUAUCUUCCUUCAGGCAAUUUUCAGUGCGCUGCGUGGGUGUCGUCAUCUCGUGCCGAGAGGUGUUAUGUUAAGUCCUGCAACGAGCGCAACCCCUGUCACUAGUUGCCAUCAUUAAGUUGGGGACUCUAGUGAGACUGCCUACGCAAGUAGAGAGGAAGGUGGGGAUGACGUCAAAUCAUCACGGCCCUUACGCCUUGGGCCACACACGUAAUACAAUGGCCGGUACAGAGGGCAGCUACGCAGCGAUGUGAUGCGAAUCUCGAAAGCCGGUCUCAGUUCGGAUUGGAGUCUGCAACUCGACUCUAUGAAGCUGGAAUCGCUAGUAAUCGCACAUCAGCCAUGGCGCGGUGAAUACGUUCCCGGGCCUUGUCACACCGCCCGUCAGCCAUGGAACUCUGGGUACCUGAAUCGGUGAC
rnacentral:rRNA from 1 species